AAGCGGCAAGAGCUCAAAUUUGAAAUCUGGCCCCUCCGGGGUCCGAGUUGUAAUUUGCAGAGGAUGCUUCGGGUGCGGCCCCUGUCUAAGUGCCCUGGAACGGGCCGUCAGAGAGGGUGAGAAUCCCGUCUUGGGCAGGGUGCCCGUGCCCGUGUGAAGCUCCUUCGACGAGUCGAGUUGUUUGGGAAUGCAGCUCUAAAUGGGUGGUAAAUUUCAUCUAAAGCUAAAUACCGGCCGGAGACCGAUAGCGCACAAGUAGAGUGAUCGAAAGAUGAAAAGCACUUUGAAAAGAGAGUUAAACAGCACGUGAAAUUGUUGAAAGGGAAGCGCUUGCGACCAGACUCGGCCUCGGGGUUCAGCCAGCAUUCGUGCUGGUGUACUUCCCCGGGGCCGGGCCAGCGUCGGUUCGGGCGGCCGGUCAAAGGCCCCAGGAAUGUAUCGUCCUCCGGGACGUCUUAUAGCCUGGGGUGCAAUGCGGCCAGCCUGGACCGAGGAACGCGCUUCGGCACGGACGCUGGCGUAAUGGUCACAAACGACCCGUCUUGAAACACGGACCAAGGAGUCUAACAUCUACGCGAGUGUUCGGGUGUCAAACCCGUACGCGCAGUGAAAGCGAACGGAGGUGGGAGCCCCUUUGGGGCGCACCAUCGACCGAUCCUGAAGUCUUCGGAUGGAUUUGAGUACGAGCGUAGCUGUGGGGACCCGAAAGAUGGUGAACUAUGCCUGAAUAGGGUGAAGCCAGAGGAAACUCUGGUGGAGGCUCGCAGCGGUUCUGACGUGCAAAUCGAUCGUCAAAUUUGGGUAUAGGGGCGAAAGACUAAU
rnacentral:misc_RNA from 1 species